UCCGAUAUGGUGUAGUGGCCAACAUGAUGCCCUCUCACUCUAGUUGGGAGGUUAGGCAUAGCCCCGAGUUCGAUUCUCGGUUUCGGAA
rfam:Colletotrichum tofieldiae strain 0861 Ct_v4_contig17, whole genome shotgun sequence.